UCUCUCAUACUUUACUCUCUUCACUUUAACUUAUUUAAAUAUCAUUCCUUAAAUCCUGUGCCCAAAAGAAGUAGGUCGCUUAUCUUGGGACGGAAGGAGUAAAAAAAAAGGGAUUAGGCGUAUCCUAGAAGGAUCAGGUGAGAAGAUCAUCAUCUUCUGACAAAGAUGAUAUUUUCUGACAGAGAGAAUAUUUGGAGGGGAGAUUUGUCAGCCAAGUUGCCGUCUUCUCGCACAUAUAUGUAUACACCACCAAUCAUUUUCAUACCCCCGCCUCACAUAAACAAUAACACCCACAAUAUUUUCUCAACGAAGCAAGAGGAGGAAGCAAUCCAUCAGGACCUUUUGCAUAUCAUGAAAGAGACGAAUUCAGCAAGUCCUUUUCACAAUCACACAAAGGUUAUCUUUGCAAAUUAAAGUCGGAGCGAGAAUCUCAAGUUAAGGAAAUUAAACGAGCGAGGUUAAGCGGUGACGAUGAGGGGCGAUGUUGAGCAAGGAUGGCGAAUGUGUUUCAGUGUGAUAAAUGCUUGGAUGCAUCGUGUCUCCAUACACGGUGUCAUUCUCUCUUGACUCUUCCGCUGCAAUGUAAAUAAUGAGCUUAUGUUCCUUUGUAUCAUGCACUCUGAUAUAUUUUGCCAGUUAUUCAAAUUUAAUUUCACUCA